AGUGAAAUUGAACUCGCUGUGAAGAUGCAGUGUACCCGCGGCAAGACGGAAAGACCCCGUGAACCUUUACUAUAGCUUGACACUGAACAUUGAGCCUUGAUGUGUAGGAUAGGUGGGAGGCUUAGAAGUGUGGACGCCAGUCUGCAUGGAGCCGACCUUGAAAUACCACCCUUUAAUGUUUGAUGUUCUAACGUUGACCCGUAAUCCGGGUUGCGGACAGUGUCUGGUGGGUAGUUUGACUGGGGCGGUCUCCUCCUAAAGAGUAACGGAGGAGCACGAAGGUUGGCUAAUCCUGGUCGGACAUCAGGAGGUUAGUGCAAUGGCAUAAGCCAGCUUGACUGCGAGCGUGACGGCGCGAGCAGGUGCGAAAGCAGGUCAUAGUGAUCCGGUGGUUCUGAAUGGAAGGGCCAUCGCUCAACGGAUAAAAGGUACUCCGGGGAUAACAGGCUGAUACCGCCCAAGAGUUCAUAUCGACGGCGGUGUUUGGCACCUCGAUGUCGGCUCAUCACAUCCUGGGGCUGAAGUAGGUCCCAAGGGUAUGGCUGUUCGCCAUUUAAAGUGGUACGCGAGCUGGGUUUAGAACGUCGUGAGACAGUUCGGUCCCUAUCUGCCGUGGGCGCUGGAGAACUGAGGGGGGCUGCUCCUAGUACGAGAGGACCGGAGUGGACGCAUCACUGGUGUUCGGGUUGUCAUGCCAAUGGCACUGCCCGGUAGCUAAAUGCGGAAGAGAUAAGUGCUGAAAGCAUCUAAGCACGAAACUUGCC
rnacentral:rRNA from 1 species